ensembl:lncRNA
AUUUAAUACUACACCAGGCUGCCCAGGGCCCCAUCCAACCUGGCCUUGAACACCUCCAGGGAUGGGACAUCCACAGUCUCUCUGGGCAGCUGUGCCAGCACCUCACCACUCUCAUGGUAAAGAACUUCCCCCUGACAUCCAACAUCUUCCCUCCUUCAGCUUAAAACCAUUUCCCCUUGUCCUGCUAUUAUCUACCCUUUCAAAGGGUUGACUCCCCUCCUGUUUAUAGACUCCCUUUAGGUAGUGAACUCUUUUAGAGAGUAAACUGCUGGAAAGAGGCUGCUUGUGCCCUUAAAAGUCUAAUUUAGAGGUCAAAUGAGCGAUGAGAUACCCCAUCCCACUAGAAGUCAAUAGAAAUCAGUUAUUAUUUUUUUUGCAUGUGCUGUGAUGAUCUAUUUGGGUGUUUGGGGUCAUUUUUAAGGCAGAUCCAUGCAUGAGUCCUUCUCCUGAAGUCAUGGCGUUGAGCUUUUAGGCUGCAUCUAUGUCUGCAAAGCACAAUAUGGAUUUGGGUUGACCUCUAGAGAGAGGAAAUCACAAUCUCUCCCUCCUUUCCUUUACAAGUGGAAGGCAGAACUGUUCCAAAUCCUGGAAGCAUGGAGGGAAAGCAGUGACCGUGUGAGCUGCUCAUAGCAUUUCUCAGCGCCUUGCCAACUAUGUUUUCUUUUAGGGCAUAAUCUGUGAGAGCUGGCAGACCUUCUCUUGGCUUUGCCUAAUUAAAUCAGCUGGGAAAGGGCGUGCUGGAGAGGAGGAGCUCUUAGUGUGUCCUCACCAUUACUUUGCACCCUUCAGUUUGCACCAAUGAGGAUAUUCUCCCUGGACUGAAUCAGGAGGAUCUCAGGAUUUGGCUACAUGGUUGAUCUACCCUUUUUUGACCUCGCUAUAAAAUGCUGUCAUGGGUCCAUUCCAACUUGGGAUAUUCCAUGGUUCUAUGAUUCACAGCCUCACAGAAUCGGUCCCCUAUCUCCUUGCCUUUUUGUAUUAUUGCUCUGUAACUGUCAGGGUGGAACACUAUGUUCCCCACGUCCACAAUGGCCAGGACAAGAAUAGGGCUAAAAUUAAACCACACGCAGAUGGAAUUAAAUGAAGAAAUGCUUGAAACGAGGCUUGGUGAAGCAUCAGAAUCUGUUAUUUGGAUGAGGCUGUGGAGUGCAGAUGUUCCUGCCUGGGGCAGAGGGAUGCUUCAAGGUCAUUGAGCGGCCACUUCACAUCCCAACCAGGGCCGGAUUUGGGCUCAGCCCUUCUGGGAUGCCAGGCAAGCUGUUAAGAGCUACGUGCAAUCACAGAGAGAGACAGAGGUGAGCUGAAAAAACCCUGACUCAAGAUUCUCACUCAGCUGAUGCCAAGUCCUAAUGUUUAGGUGGCUUUUGCUUUAUUUUCGUUACUUCUAAGCUCCUCAGCUGGGAUUCUGCCAGAAGUCAGAACUCUGGUUUUAACCCAAACAGCCCCGUUUGGGACUGACGCAGCUCAGAGCAGCCCACGCUUUAGGGACAUGGUUUUGUGGGCAAUAUUGGUGGUAGAUGGACAAUUGGACUAGAUGAUCUUGGUGGUCUUUUCCAACCUUAAUGGUUCUAAGUGUGGGUCAUCCCCCGUGCCUCAGUGCUGGCAGCAUCUUUGGCACCUCCUGGUACCUGCACCUUGGGAUGGAGCUUUGUUGGGGGAAUUGAGUUCUAUUUCUCUUUUAUUUCCAGUCAUGGAUAGGCAUCCCCUUCAAUUUUAAAAUAAAUCCAGAUCAUUUCUUUUUGGAUGGAGCCAUAAAUCUUUGCACUUCAGUUCCCCAUCCUCACAACUCCUUCCUCCUACCAGCCAAUGUCUAUAUGGGUAUUUCAGCCUGGAAACUCUCUGACCUGCUCUGAAACAUAGGUAUUUCUCGAAGGCCAUGACACACAGUGGCAGGCUGCUGGCAUGGUGGGUUGGCCGCUCCUCGGAGACGUUUGUCCCCACAGUUGUCUGCACACCACAGCACAUAGCACUGUUUGUGUGUGCGUUUAAUGCAAGUGUUGUUUCCCAUAAAUGCCUCCUUCUGGGCCCGGAGAAUCGCUCUCACCCUCUCUCACCUCAGUGGCCAACUGAGAAAGGUCUCCUUCACUCAGCUGGGGGAGAGGGGGAGGAUUUAUGAAUUGGAGAGAUGCAUUCCUGAUGUGGAAUGGGCACAUUCUGCAUUUCCAAUCCCCCCCCCCCCCGCUCGGUAAAAGCACCAUUUGUGUGGCAAAUAGCCAAGGGUUUUAUGAAUGCAGCUCUUGCUUUCUCCAGCUGCUAGAAACCUUUCUCAAAUAUGAAUUAAAAUAAAAGCCUCACUAGACACUUUUAGCACUCAUAAUUCUGCUAUUUCUGGUCUGCGGCGUGGAGUUCUUGCAUCAGAAAUCAUGGUUGGAGUGGCUUGAGUGGCUUCUUUCAAAUAUUAUUAAAGGGAAGAAAACUCAAAAGAUGGAUGACUUCAAUCUACAAGAACUUGGAUGUGAUUGUGUACCCAGAUUUGGCAUUUCCCUAGUUAAUAUGGCAGGGAAAUCCCAUCUCUGCUUAUAUAUCCUUAUAUAGACUUACCCUUCAGGUACCAUUGGGGGGGUGUCCUUGAGGAAUUGGUACGCCCCGCAUUUGGUGCUCUAAUAAAUCAACUAGCAGGGAGAAGACAAGAUCAGGACCGCAAUCCAUGCAUGGGAAUAUCUUAGAGGUUUUAGGAAAGCAUUUUUCAUUGCAUCACAGGAGUAAGAGAAAGAGGAAACCAUGGUAACAGCCGUGGGCUGGUGGAGCUGGGAGUUUGCAGUUUGCAGACAGGAGAGGGAUGCUCGGUGGCAAUUUGUCACCAGGCAAGCAUGGGACAGGGGGAUGCUCCUGGUGGGUGUGUUCACAGCACUGUGGAGGAAAGCGGUGUUUUUCUGGGGGGAAGGAUUUGGAUUGCUUGUAGUUGGUGAUUCUGUGCAAGGAUCUGCCCUGCGUACAGGGAUUUUGGGUACUUCCCUGCCGAGCUGAUUUUUGCCUUGCAGGCAGCCAGCGGUGAGAGGAAAAAAUCUGGGCAAAUGCAAAAUCUCACCCGCUGGGACUGUGAAGGUGAAUCAUGAAAAUGGGGGUGGGAAUCCAGUUAUAUGUAGGUUGUGGGGUCAUUAAGGCAGAGUGGAUGCAGGUUACAUCCAGGUUACCCUCCUAUCUUCCUUGACUUAUACACGACAAGGACAGGUGAAACAGCAACUCUGCCUUAUAAAUGUGUAUGACAUGUCAACAGGAUGGCUCGAUUUCUUUGCAGAAGCAGUAGAGAUUAUUCUGAAUCCCAACCCGAUCAGAAAUAAAUAACAUCACCUCCCAGAGACCACAGAGUACCUGAAGGGCAUUUGAAACCUUUGCAUGCCAACAGUGCUUUUCUGGCGGGGUCAUCUUCUGAGACGAAAAGUUCAGUGUCUGCAGUGGUUGUGCUGAGGCUCCCACAGAUGGAUGCUCAGAGCUCUGAGGAUGCAGGAGAGCUUUGCUGAUGUUCCUUCAGAGCUUGAAAUAGUUUUCUUCCCCAAAGAUGGAUGCUGAGCACUUUCAAGCUGGCCAUUUAGAGAGUUUGUGACCAGAAAUCAAUCCAGGCAGAAAAAAUGUACAUCUACCUGUUUACAUCAUAAACCACAAACGCGUUUGCAUCCUGCAACAAACACCUGGGCAACAUCCAGAGGAGACAUUCCCAACGUGUUAACUACUGCCAGCGCUGGGAUCCUGUAACCACAGCACAUGGAGAUGAUGGGAACUCAGUUAAAUUAAGGAGAACCACCAAGAUUGUGAAACGUGGCAGCAGGACAAGAGCUGGUUGCAACACAGGCUGGACUUUAGGUCUGUUGGCCAAUCGAACACAUCUGAUGCUGGUGAUUGGGAUGCCAGAGACAGUUGGUAGACUGCUGAUCUACCCUGUGGGUCACUGAGGCACGUUCUUGAGGGCUGAUCCUCCUGGCCUGCACAAAUCUGCAUGUCCAAUUUCCCGAAUGGCAGAAAAUUCUACAUUAAGAUGACAUUUAUCAGCUAAUCUUUUAAAAGAAAUUAACUGGGUAUUUAUGAGGCUUAGACUUAGAGUAUCAUAGAAUCAUUAAGGUUGGAAAAGACCACCAAGACCAGCAAGUCCGACUGUCAACUGAUUCCCCACCAUGCCCACCAACUACAUCCUUCUGUGCCACAAUCUAACUUCUCAGUGGCACCAGGGAGAGCACAACCAAGCUCCUUUUGGAUCCCACUUGUAUCUUGUUCCCUUACUGCAAGGACAGACCCAAGCCCAACCCUGGCAAACAUUUCCUACCAGGGCAGUCACCACUGUGCAGGCUGGGUGAUGAGGCACCAGUGGGUGCAAGGAAACCCUAAAGCCCACAGGGGUCAGGGCUGGCAAUGCCCCACAUCCCUCCAUGCUGCUCAGCCCUUCUGCUGAUGUUCUGCAGGAGAGCAGCAGCUGAUGGUGCUAAAAAUACCCUUGGGCAGGGUAGCAGUGGUUCAGCACUGGGCUUCCCAGAAGAGUGCUGGUAUUUCAGCCUUGUGACUCCAGCUCAGGCCACUUGAUGAACAGCAUGCAACUUUGCUCUGAUUUCCCCAUUUGGUAGGGAACAAUCUCAGUAACGGAUGGAUAAGUCAGCAAACAGCAUAGUUCGCUUUCUUAUUUUAGGUCUCCCAUAGACAUAGAUAUGAAUGACUCUGAAAUAUAGGCAGCACCUGGUCCUUCCCUGCUGUCACAUUGUCCCCUUGAUGGAAAAGCAAAGGAGAUUCCUAUACAAGAUCCCUCUGUAGGUCUGAGGAGGCAGCCGUAAAUGUCCGACCAUAUGCGUGCCAAACAUCCAACCACUCUGCAACCUCACUUUGCCCAUUGCACGUGGGGCAAGAUGGGAGGGAUUCCCCAAAUCUGCAAGCACAUCCCAUAAAAUACCCCGGACACCAGCUGAGAGCACCACCUGUCAGUGGAGUGCUUUGUUCCCAAACCAGGUCCUGCUGGCACAUCCCUCUGACACACUCUACAGAAGAAAAAGUAAAACUAGGAACUUUUUGACUUCUUAUUUUGCAGAAGUGUGACCUUUCGACCUGAAUCACGAUGAGUGGUUAUGAGGAAGAGCUGCUCUCACUUCUAAAUUAUUGCCAUGCAAUGAGCAGGUUUCCAUGGGGUAGCUGAAGGCAUGUCCUGAGGUCCAAGGGAUACAAGCAUCCCAUUCUUGCUCUACUUUGCACUAAAGGACUGGUCUUAGAGGAGCUUAUUCUCUAAAAAAUGACCUGACUGGCUGAAUAAAACACAAUUUCUGUUUUAAUAUUGUUGUGUUAUGAAACAUUGCAAUAGAGGCACAAAUGUGGGCAAGAACAAGUUUUACUGCAGACGCUUGAUCUGCUGACAGAUUGUCCCAGUGCUGCAUUCCUCAUUCCCUGGGGGUCUGGUCCAGCUCAGAUUGGAAGAUAGUGAAGAUCUUGGGAGAUCUCCAAUAGUGUGGGUCAAAAUUCACUGAUUACAGAAAUGCAAUUGGUUCAGUUGAUCUGCAUAAAGAAAAAAACCACAGCCCAUAGUGGGAAUGUAGAGUAGGAUUGAGAGGAAAAGCUGAGCCCUAAUAGGGAGGCUGGUGCGUGGUGUAUUCAAUAAUUGCAUUUAUGAAUAAACAAUUAAGUAUUACCAAUGAAUCUCUUGCAUUUUAUUGACCCAGGCACAGAAGCUGCUUUUUGGCACUGAUGACUUGCUCAGUUCACGCUUGACAAUGGGGAAUUGUAGUGGCUGUUCCCUUAAGAAAUCAUCCAAGAUUGGGACUUAUUUGUGCGCCAUUGCUUGCAUCAAUUAACAGUACAAUCUUUUUGUUAUGAAAACGCAAACAUUAGUAGCCUGAGGAGCCUUGUAAAUGCAAAUAUAAAACUUUAAUUUCAGUAACCCCCACUUUCCCUUCAAGUACAAUAAAGGCUCUUUUUUUUUUUUUUUUUUUUCAUUUGCUGUUACA